rnacentral:rRNA from 1 species
AGUGAACGCUGGCGGUAGGCCUAACACAUGCAAGUCGAACGGCAGCACAGUAAGAGCUUGCUCUUACGGGUGGCGAGUGGCGGACGGGUGAGGAAUACAUCGGAAUCUACUUUUUCGUGGGGGAUAACGUAGGGAAACGUACGCUAAUACCGCAUAGUACCUACGGGUGAAAGCAGGGGAUCUUCGGACCUUGCGCGAUUGAAUGAGCCGAUGUCGGAUUAGCUAGUUGGCGGGGUAAAGGCCCACCAAGGCGACGAUCCGUAGCUGGUCUGAGAGGAUGAUCAGCCACACUGGAACUGAGACACGGUCCAGACUCCUACGGGAGGCAGCAGUGGGGAAUAUUGGACAAUGGGCGCAAGCCUGAUCCAGCCCUACCGCGUGGGUGAAGAAGGCCUUCGGGUUGUAAAGCCCUUUUGUUGGGAAAGAAAAGCAGCAGGUUAAUACCCCGCUGUUCUGACGGUACCCAAAGAAUAAGCACCGGCUAACUUCGUG